rnacentral:lncRNA from 1 species
CAAAAGGGCGGUAUCUGGGCCGCGGAAAUAGCCUGAGGGCCGCGGAGUGAGAGCGAGCCGCCAGGAGCGGUCGUAUGGCGGCAGUGCCGCGGAGAGUGAGCUCCGCACAACCAAGGGAGCGAGAGGCCCUUGGUGCUGGUUGCCGGUGUGUGGGUGAGGGGCGUCAACGCGCGGGAUCUGCGCGGGCCGCGGGAAGCGCGCCCGUGGCGGGGGAAAAGGAGGUCGAAUCAGUAAAACGAUCUGUCGGCGGGAGCCAUUGUAGUGUCCCACUGGUAAAAUGGGGAUAACAGUUCUCCUCAGUUGCACAGAGGUGCCGUGCAGCCUGCUCCAUUCAUUCUGAG